GUCGAGCGGACCUUUUAAAGCUUGCUUUUGAAAGGUCAGCGGCGGACGGGUGAGUAACACGUGGGCAACCUGCCUGUAAGACUGGGAUAACUUCGGGAAACCGGAGCUAAUACCGGAUAAUAUAAGGAACCUCCUGGUUCUUUAUUGAAAGAUGGUUUCGGCUAUCACUUACAGAUGGGCCCGCGGCGCAUUAGCUAGUUGGUGAGGUAAUGGCUCACCAAGGCGACGAUGCGUAGCCGACCUGAGAGGGUGAUCGGCCACACUGGGACUGAGACACGGCCCAGACUCCUACGGGAGGCAGCAGUAGGGAAUCUUCCACAAUGGACGAAAGUCUGAUGGAGCAACGCCGCGUGAGCGAUGAAGGCCUUCGGGUCGUAAAGCUCUGUUGUUAGGGAAGAACAAGUGCGAGAGUAACUGCUCGCACCUUGACGGUACCUAACCAGAAAGCCACGGCUAACUACGUGCCAGCAGCCGCGGUAAUACGUAGGUGGCAAGCGUUGUCCGGAAUUAUUGGGCGUAAAGCGCGCGCAGGUGGUCCUUUAAGUCUGAUGUGAAAGCCCACGGCUCAACCGUGGAGGGUCAUUGGAAA
rnacentral:rRNA from 1 species